rnacentral:rRNA from 1 species
UACGUAGGGUGCAAGCGUUGUCCGGAAUUAUUGGGCGUAAAGAGCGUGUAGGCGGCCCGAUUAGUCCGCUGUGAAAGUCAAGGGCUCAACCCUUGAAUGCCGGUGGAUACUGUCGGGCUAGAGUCCGGAAGAGGCGAGUGGAAUUCCUGGUGUAGCGGUGAAAUGCGCAGAUAUCAGGAGGAACACCAAUGGCGAAGGCAGCUCGCUGGGACGGUACUGACGCUGAGGCGCGAAAGCGUGGGGAGCAAACAGG